AUGGAGCUUUUUCGAAACUGUCUUGAUGACUGCGGGCUGGUGGACCUUGGCUUUUCUGGACCGAAAUUCACCUGGACAAAUCGGCAAGACGCGCAAUGUAAUGUGCGUGUCAGACUUGAUCGCGCCGUGGCUAAUGGAGAUUUUACUGCACGAUUUGAGUUUUAUCAAGUGGAGAACAUUAUUACUACGACCUCUGACCACUAUGCGGUGGCCAUCUCCCUCGACUCCCAACGUGUGUUGGCGGACCGGCCUCCUGUGCAGCAUGGGUUCCGCUAUGAGGCUAUGUGGCGUCGGGCUGAAGACUACACUGAGGUGGUGGAGAACGCUUGGAGGGCUCAAGGUACUGGAGCUCACUCACUGCGGGAGACAUGGUCUGGUUUGAAAUAUGUGUCCGGUGCUCUGAAGGAAUGGAGCAAGGUGUCCUUUGGCUGUGUUCGUCGUGCUAUCCAGAGGGCCGAAAGGAGACUCAAGACUCUGCGCAUGUCACCAGUGAAUGCGGCUGUGCUGAAGGAAGAGCGCGAGCUGGAAUGUCAGCUAUGUGAAUUGUUUGAGCGUGAGGAAAUCAUGGCUCGCCAACGGUCUCGGAUCGACUGGCUCCGGGCGGGAGAUCGUAAUACGGAAUUCUUCCAUGCUCGGGCCUCUGCUCGACGACGCACCAAUCGUAUCAAGGCCCUUGUGCGGGAGGACGGGUCAAAAUGUGUCUCACAGGCUGGGUUGAAAGAGAUGGUACAUGAGCUUUAUGAGAAUCUCUUCUUCGCUGAGGACUGCUUCUCUAUGGAGAGUGUUUUGGAUGCUAUCCCAAGGAAGGUUGAUGACAACAUGAACGCUGAGCUGUGCAAACCUUAUAGUAAUGAGGAGAUCAGAGUGGCUCUCUUUCAGAUGGGGCCUACAAAGGCCCCUGGACCGGAUGGUCUACCGGCUAUGUUCUAUCAAACUCACUGGGAUCUGCUCCAGCAUGAUAUUUGCGAUGCUAUUCGCUCUUUCUUGAGUGGUGAGGCUAUACCUGAAGGACUAUGCGACUCUAUCAUUGUCUUAAUCCCUAAGGUACAAAACGCCCAGCACCUCUCCAAGUUCCGUCCUAUUAGCUUGUGCAACGUGUUGUACAAACUUGCAUCUAAAGUUCUUGCCAAUAGGCUGAAGGUUUUUUUGACUGAUAUUGUCUCGGAGUUUUAG
rnacentral:rRNA from 1 species